UGAAGGCCGAGUCAAACUAACAGG
rnacentral:piRNA from 1 species